rnacentral:rRNA from 1 species
CCUUUACUAUAGCUUCGCCUUGGCGUUAGCGACCGUAUGUGUAGGAUAGGUGGGAGGCUAUGAAACCGGGGCGCCAGCUCUGGUGGAGCCAUCCUUGAAAUACCACCCUUACUGUCGUUGACGUCUAACCGAGGGCCGUUAUCCGGUCCCGGGACAUGGCGUGGUGGGUAGUUUGACUGGGGCGGUCGCCUCCUAAAGUGUAACGGAGGCGCGCGAUGGUGGGCUCAGACCGGUCGGAAAUCGGUCGUCGAGUGCAAUGGCAUAAGCCCGCCUGACUGCGAGACUGACAAGUCGAGCAGAGACGAAAGUCGGCCAUAGUGAUCCGGUGGUCCCGCGUGGAAGGGCCAACGCUCAACGGAUAAAAGGUA